UUCCAAUUAGCCACAGGAAUAAUUAUUUUCCAGCACCAGUUGAGAUGCUUGCUUAAAGUAAACGACAAUGUGAGGCGCACAUCUAGCGUUCUUUCUCAUUCACCAACGUCUCUCUCUUUGUCUCUGACAGGCAGGUGAGGCCGAUGUCAUCACUCGGGAUGGAGGAGACGUCCACACAGCGACAGCCGGCCUCAACACUUACUGCCUGCAAUCAUUGCAGAGGACUACUGCGAGGACUCUGACAUCUGCUAUGAUGCUUUGGCCGAGGCCAAGAAUGACACUGGCUUCGGGUUCAACAACCUCCAGGGAAAGAAGUCCUGCCACACGGAGCUCUGCAAAUCUGCAGGCUGGAACAUUCCCAUGGGCACCCUUGUGACCAUGGGCCAGAUCAAAUGGGCCGGCAUCGAGGACAAACCUGUGGAGGAAGCGGUGAGCAACUGCUUCAUGGCCAGCUUCGCUCCAUGAGCCACUAAGGGUUGUAAGUGUUCAUGUUUCAGCUUUGCAGGGGCGUAGCCAGGCUCACCCAUGCCUAUACCGUUGCAGCUGUGUAAGGGAGACUGCUCCAGGUCUCACAAGGAACCCUACUAUGACUAUGCCGGGGCCUUCCAGGCUUCAACCUGUCUCAUCAGAUGGCUACGCAGCCAAGAACCUGAUGUUCAAAGACUCCACUCAGAAACUGGUGCAGCUGCCCAUGAACACCGACUCCUUCCUCUGGGAGCUGAGUACGUGAGCGCCAUCCGGUUCCAUUUUAAUGUGCAUGCGUGCUUACACACACACAAAUUCUCUCUUGACCGUUAGCUCAUUGCUACCUCCCCAACCGUUGCUUCUCAGAGCAGACAACAGGCGCCACCUCCAGGGCCAUCAAGUGGUGUGCCGUGGGCCAUGCCGAGACAGCCAAGUGUGGCACCUGGAGCAUCAACAGCAUAGGAGAGAGAGGAGCCAUGAUUGAGUGCCAGAGGGCACCCACAUUAGAGGAAUGCAUCAGGAAGAUCAUGUGUAUUUGUAUAUGUUAUGGAUCCCCAUUAGCUGUUGCCAAGGCAGCAGCUACUCUUCCUGGGGUCCCGCAAAAUUAAG
rnacentral:lncRNA from 1 species